rnacentral:rRNA from 1 species
ACGGAGGGAGCGAGCGUUGUUCGGAAUUACUGGGCGUAAAGGGCGCGUAGGCGGUCUCGUAAGUCGGGUGUGAAAUUCCGGGGCUCAACCCCGAGAACUGCAUCCGAUACUGCUUGACUUGAGAGAGGUAGGGGCGAGUGGAAUUCCCGGUGUAGCGGUGGAAUGCGUAGAUAUCGGGAAGAACACCGGUGGCGAAGGCGGCUCGCUGGACCUUUUCUGACGCUGAAGCGCGAAAGCGUGGGGAGCAAACAGG